CAGUCGCCGCGGUAAUACGAAGGGUGCAAGCGUUAAUCGGAAUUACUGGGCGUAAAGCGUGCGUAGGCGGUUUGUUAAGUCUGUUGUGAAAUCCCCGGGCUCAACCUGGGAAUGGCAAUGGAUACUGGCAAGCUAGAGUGUGUCAGAGGAUGGUGGAAUUCCCGGUGUAGCGGUGAAAUGCGUAGAGAUCGGGAGGAACAUCAGUGGCGAAGGCGGCCAUCUGGGACAACACUGACGCUGAGGCACGAAAGCGUGGGGAACAAACAGGAUUAGAUACCCGGGUAGUCCCUGUCUCUUAUAC
rnacentral:rRNA from 1 species